rnacentral:rRNA from 1 species
GCACCUUCGGGUGUGAGUAGAGCGGCGAACGGGUGCNCUAACACGNGAGUAAUCUGCCUCAGGGUCGGGGAUAACCACCCGAAAGGGUGUUGUAAUACCGGAUACGAUCCCUUCCUCGCAGGGGGAGGGGGGGAAAGAGGGCUUCGGCUUUCGCCCUGAGAUGAGCUCGCGGCCCAUUAGCUAGUUGGUGGGGUAACGGCCUACCAAGGCAGUGAUGGGUAGCUGGUCUGAGAGGAUGAUCAGCCACACUGGGACUGAGAUACGGCCCAGACUCCUACGGGAGGCAGCAGUGGGGAAUAUUGCGCAAUGGACGAAAGUCUGACGCAGCAACGCCGCGUGGGUGACGAAGGCCUUUGGGUUGUAAAGCCCUGUCAGGAGGGAAGAACGGUCGUGUGGUGAUAACCCACAUGAAUUGACGGUACCUCCAAAGGAAGCACCGGCUAACUCCGUGCCAGCAGCCGCGGUAAUACGGGGGGUGCAAGCGUUGUUCGGAAUCACUGGGCGUAAAGCGUGCGUAGGCGGCUGUGUAAGUCGGGUGUGAAAGCCCAGGGCUCAACCCUGGAACUGCGCUCGAAACUGCACAGCUUGAGUCCGGGAGAGGGUUGCGGAAUUACCGGUGUAGAGGUGAAAUUCGUAGAUAUCGGUAAGAACACCUGCGGCGAAGGCGGCCUACCUGGACCGAGACUGACGC